GACGAACGCUGGCGGCGUGCUUAACACAUGCAAGUCGAACGGAAAGGCUCUGCUUUUGCGGGGUGCUCGAGUGGCGAACGGGUGAGUAACACGUGAGUAACCUGCCCUUGACUUUGGGAUAACUUCAGGAAACUGGGGCUAAUACCGGAUAGGAGCUCCUGCUGCAUGGUGGGGGUUGGAAAGUUUCGGCGGUUGGGGAUGGACUCGCGGCUUAUCAGCUUGUUGGUGGGGUAGUGGCUUACCAAGGCUUUGACGGGUAGCCGGCCUGAGAGGGUGACCAGCCACAUUGGAACUGAGAUACGGCCCAGACUCCUACGGGAGGCAGCGGUGGAGAAUAUUGCACAAUGGGCGGAAGCCUGAUGCAGCAACGCCGCGUGCGGGAUGACGGCCUUCGGGUUGUAAACCGCUUUCGCCUGUGACGAAGCGUGAGUGACGGUAAUGGGUAAAGAAGCACCGGCUAACUACGUG
rnacentral:rRNA from 1 species